rnacentral:misc_RNA from 1 species
GGAAGUAAAGGUCGUAACAAGGUUUCCGUAGGUGAACCUGCGGAAGGAUCAUUCAUAAUAAGUGUUUUAUGGCACUUUUCUAAAUCCAUAUCCACCUUGUGUGCAAUGUCAGGGUUGAUUUUUCUCUCGAGAGGAUCAACCCCAAACAUCAACUAUAUCUCAACUCUUUGUCUGAAAAAUAUUAUGAAUAAAACAAUUCAAAAUACAACUUUCAACAACGGAUCUCUUGGCUCUC